ACUCGAGUGGCGAACGGGUGAGUAACACGUGGGUGAUCUGCCCUGCACUUCGGGAUAAGCCUGGGAAACUGGGUCUAAUACCGGAUAGGAGCCAUUUUUAGUGUGAUGGUUGGAAAGUUUUUCGGUGUAGGAUGAGCUCGCGGCCUAUCAGCUUUUUGGUGGGGUAGUGGCUUACCAAGGCUUUGACGGGUAGCCGGCCUGAGAGGGUGACCGGCCACAUUGGGACUGAGAUACGGCCCAG
rnacentral:rRNA from 1 species